CAGGGACAGCCGAACCGAACAAAAUCGCGGGGAAAGCGGAACAACGGGGCGAGACAAGCGGACUCAUCCGACCUCUGCUGGUGCUGCCUCAGCAGAGAUGAAGCUGAUGGACCUGCCCCCAUGUGAUUGGCCGGCCCACACCCACAUCAGCCCUGUCCUGCAGCCUCCCCCAGGUGUUCAGGUGUGGGGUUGCACCUCCACGGCCCGCUGGCCCGCUGGCCCCACGUACCCAGCCUUAGGAUUUGAAUCUUGCUUCCCCAUAAGGAAGUCUGUCUGCCUGGGUGCUAUCCAUCCCCUUCCUUCACUUUGAUGCCAUACCACGUUAGCGAACAAAAGGACCUUGCAAAAUGGCCAGAGGAUUCAUGUUUUCCUGGGCACAUGAAACAGUAGUGCAAGAAGAACCGAUUUGGUGAGCAUUUGAUUGUGAUGUGUCCUCUAGGAUGUACACCUGUGCACAUAUGGGCGUCUAGUUUUCUUGAUUAGUGGAUUGAGCUUGCAUUGUACUGAGGGAUGUGGAGUAAGGGUGUGUGUGUGUGUGUGUGGGGGGGGGGUCGUCUUCAAGAGCUAAUCAUUAUCCAAUAGAAGGCUGACCACCUGAUUUAGCAGAAGCACUCCUUCUGAUGGAUGGGGUCUCAGAAUGCCUCUGUUGAAGGUGUGCUCCACUGAAUUGACUGGAGGUCUGAACUUUUGCUGCAGGCAUAUACAUAAUUUAUCACGAGAAAAUGUUAGCAAAACCUUCAAUUCCAACUAACAGCUUUAAUCGACACAAUGGCGGGCAACUUCAUCAAGUGCAUUAGUGAUUUUAUUUAACGUGGAGAAAGGGAGAAUUACGUGGUGCACUUUCGGUAAGAUGCUUUUAGUGAACUCAGCCGACGCUUGACAAAACGCUGACAGCUGCAGUCCCGUGUCAUGUACUGUGAAUUUAUCAAGCUUGUUGUGGUGAGGUUUUUAACUGAGGUGGUUUUCCAUGACACAACACUGUCUCAAGUCUAGUUUCCGUGUUGGUCAAACCAGGUGUCUGCCAUUAGGGGGCGCCCUCCUGCAGUUCUAUUAUGUCGCAACUGCAUGUCUUUGCAGGGUUAGAACUACGUUUUAGCGUUAAUGCACAAUGCACAGGACUGUCGGAAGUCGUGUUUAACAAUAAGAUGCCUUACUGAUCAUUUUCAAACGCUC
ensembl:lncRNA